UUCAGCUGAGGGCAGUGCUACAGCAAGCUGAGUUUGUUAAAGAAUCACUGAGCAGUCAUCAAGACAGUGGAGUCGGUGGCUCACUCGGCAAAGUUCAGGCUCAGUUCUCCGAGGUGGUGGAGGAGAGGAAUAGAAUAAUGAUCCAACUGAACGACGCAGAACAUAGACUCAAACAAAGAGAGGCGAGGUGUCAGCAGUUGGCGAUGCAGGUAAGCCAACUAGCUGAAGACAGAGGUUAUCUAAAUAGCCAACUGGCCAACAUUUCCAAGUCUCUGAG
rnacentral:sRNA from 1 species